rnacentral:rRNA from 1 species
CAGUAGCCGCGGUAAUACGAAGGGUGCAAGCGUUAAUCGGAAUUACUGGGCGUAAAGCGUGCGUAGGCGGUUUGUUAAGUCUGUUGUGAAAUCCCCGGGCUCAACCUGGGAAUGGCAAUGGAUACUGGCAAGCUAGAGUGUGUCAGAGGAUGGUGGAAUUCCCGGUGUAGCGGUGAAAUGCGUAGAGAUCGGGAGGAACAUCGGUGGCGAAGGCGGCCAUCUGGGACAACACUGACGCUGAGGCACGAAAGCGUGGGAAGCAAACAGGAUUAGAUACCCCUGUAGUCCCUGUCUCUUAUAC